GCUUUAUAAACAGAGAAAUUGUUGGUUCAUGGCUCUAUGACUAGAAUCUACCGGUUGAAAUGCCAGUUUCUGGCACUAUAGCUGCUUUCAAAUGGCUAAAUCAUCCACUGGGACGAGUUAAAUGCUAAAUGCGUCUUGUCCCUGCUAAAAGGCAUUUUAUCAGUAACAUUUAGUGGACUUAAUUGGGAUUUCACGGACAUUUGAUUUUUAUUUUUUUCUUUUACGCCUCGUCUAUAUAACCAGAGCAGAUGUGACACAGGGGGGGGAGAAAGAGACAGAAGGAUUUCGUAUCGCCUGUGAGCUGUAAGUUGGACUCCCUUUGAAGAAACUCAAAGGAAGACGCAGAGGGGACUUUCUUACACAAUUCCACUCGGGGAGAGAUGGGUUUGGUUGAGAAACUGGCUUGGGCAAAUGAAUAUGGGAAGAGACGCUUACGCAGAGCAUACUGGAGGGUCAGAGCAGAGAUCAGGAAGGCCGUCAAGAACAUGCACGAGCAGAGGCUGAGGUUCCAAUAUGAUGCCUCGAGUUAUGCCCUCAAUUUUGAUGAUGGCUCUGCAUGUGCAGGCGGGUGUCUAGAUGACACCAUAAUCUUCGCAUUGUGGUUCCUGCAUUUUAUGUACAAUGCCAACUUGCAGAAAUUAAUAGAGAACUUAGAGAAGGAGCGGAAGGUGUGAAAAAAUGUAUCUAGCUCUUGUGUGUCUUGGCAAAUGAAUAGAGAAUGUCGGUCUCCUGAAACAAUUUCUUCUCCUCUUUUUUGUUUUUCCAAGCAGGAGGGUUCAUGCCACAAUGAUCUUUAGAUGUCUUACUUGUGAUUGCAACAUCCCUAUCUUCUAUGGUCUUUAGGCCACACUGCUCAAUCCCUCGAGGCAAUCAUUUCUGCAAAAUCCCUUCGUUUUCCUAUUUCCUUUUGCCUUUCUAGUGCAGAUUCUUACUUAUAUACCGUCAUGUGCUUCUUUUUUUUUUUUUUCAUUCAAUGAAUUCCUUCCUUUUUUUCA